rnacentral:rRNA from 1 species
GCAGUAGCCGCGGGAAUACGAAGGUCCCGAGCGUUGUUCGGAAUCACUGGGCGUAAAGGGAGCGUAGGCGGCGUGGUAAGUCAGAUGUGAAAUCCCGGGGCUCAACCCCGGAACUGCAUCCGAUACUGCCGUGCUAGAGGAUUGGAGAGGUAGCUGGAAUUCUUGGUGUAGCAGUGAAAUGCGUGGAGAUCAAGAGGAACACUCGUGGCGAAAGCGAGCUACUGGACAAUAUCUGACGCUGAGGCUCGAAGGCCAGGGUAGCGAAAGGGAUUAGAUACCCCCGUAGUCCCUGUCUCUUAUAC